AGUGAACGCUGGCGGUAGGCCUAACACAUGCAAGUCGAACGGCAGCACAGUAAGAGCUUGCUCUUACGGGUGGCGAGUGGCGGACGGGUGAGGAAUACAUCGGAAUCUACUUUUUCGUGGGGGAUAACGUAGGGAAACUUACGCUAAUACCGCAUACGACCUACGGGUGAAAGCAGGGGAUCUUCGGACCUUGCGCGAUUGAAUGAGCCGAUUUCGGAUUAGCUAGUUGGCGGGGUAAAGGCCCACCAAGGCGACGAUCCGUAGCUGGUCUGAGAGGAUGAUCAGCCACACUGGAACUGAGACACGGUCCAGACUCCUACGGGAGGCAGCAGUGGGGAAUCUUGGACAAUGGGCGCAAGCCUGAUCCAGCCAUACCGCGUGGGUGAAGAAGGCCUUCGGGUUGUAAAGCCCUUUUGUUGGGAAAGAAAAGCAGCAGGUUAAUACCCCGCUGUUCUGACGGUACCCAAAGAAUAAGCACCGGCUAACUUCGUG
rnacentral:rRNA from 1 species